UGCCAUAUCAUAAGCGGAGGAAAAGAAACCAACCGGGAUUGCCUUAGUAACGGCGAGUGAAGCGGCAAAAGCUCAAAUUUGAAAUCUGGUACCUUCGGUGCCCGAGUUGUAAUUUGGAGAGGGCAACUUUGGGGCCGUUCCUUGUCUAUGUUCCUUGGAACAGGACGUCAUAGAGGGUGAGAAUCCCGUGUGGCGAGGAGUGCGGUUCUUUGUAAAGUGCCUUCGAAGAGUCGAGUUGUUUGGGAAUGCAGCUCUAAGUGGGUGGUAAAUUCCAUCUAAAGCUAAAUAUUGGCGAGAGACCGAUAGCGAACAAGUACAGUGAUGGAAAGAUGAAAAGAACUUUGAAAAGAGAGUGAAAAAGUACGUGAAAUUGUUGAAAGGGAAGGGCAUUUGAUCAGACAUGGUGUUUUGUGCCCUCUGCUCCUUGUGGGUAGGGGAAUCUCGCAUUUCACUGGGCCAGCAUCAGUUUUGGUGGCAGGAUAAAUCCAUAGGAAUGUAGCUUGCCUCGGUAAGUAUUAUAGCCUGUGGGAAUACUGCCAGCUGGGACUGAGGACUGCGACGUAAGUCAAGGAUGCUGGCAUAAUGGUUAUAUGCCGCCCGUCUUGAAACCGGACCA
rnacentral:rRNA from 1 species